rnacentral:rRNA from 1 species
UACGGGGGGGGCGAAGCGUUGUUCGGAAUUACUGGGCGUAAAGGGCUCGUAGGCGGCCAACUAAGUCAGACGUGAAAUCCCUCGGCUUAACCGGGGAACUGCGUCUGAUACUGGAUGGCUUGAGUUCGGGAGAGGGAUGCGGAAUUCCAGGUGUAGCGGUGAAAAUGCGUAGAUAUCUGGAGGAACACCGGUGGCGAAGGCGGCAUCCUGGACCGAUACUGACGCUGAGGAGCGAAAGCCAGGGGAGCAAAGCGGG